rnacentral:rRNA from 1 species
GGAAUUUUGGACAAUGGACGCAAGUCUGAUCCAGCCAUUCCGCGUGCAGGAUGAAGGCCCUCGGGUUGUAAACUGCUUUUGUACGGAACGAAAAGGUCUCUAUUAAUACUAGGGGCUCAUGACGGUACCGUAAGAAUAAGCACCGGCUAACUACGUGCCAGCAGCCGCGGUAAUACGUAGGGUGCAAGCGUUAAUCGGAAUUACUGGGCGUAAAGCGUGCGCAGGCGGUUAUGUAAGACAGAGGUGAAAUCCCCGGGCUCAACCUGGGAACUGCCUUUGUGACUGCAUAGCUAGAGUACGGUAGAGGGGGAUGGAAUUCCGCGUGUAGCAGUGAAAUGCGUAGAUAUGCGGAGGAACACCGAUGGCGAAGGCAAUCCCCUGGACCUGUACUGACGCUCAUGCACGAAAGCGUGGGGAGCAAACAGGAUUAGAUACCCUGGUAGUCCACGCCCUAAACGAUGUCAACUGGUUGUUGGGUCUUCACUGACUCAGUAACGAAGCUAACGCGUGAAGUUGACCGCCUGGGGAGUACGGCCGCAAGGUUGAAACUCAAAUGAAUUGACGG